rnacentral:ncRNA from 1 species
UUUUUGUAGAGUUUGAUCCUAGCUCAGGAUGAACGCUGGCGGCGUGGAUAAGGCAUGCAAGUCGAACGUGUCAGUGCGAAGCACUGACCCACGAAUCAACACGAAUAGAAGCGCUUCGCGCUACACGAAUCAACACGAAUCUGCAUACGGCGGAUUAGUGGAAAUUCGUGUGGCGAGCGAAGCGAGCUCUAUUCGUGGAAAUUAGUGGGCCAAUGCUUCGCAUUGGCAAGUGGCAGACGAGGUAGUAACACGUAGGAACGUACCCCAAAGUUGGGCAUAGCCAGUCGAAAGAUUGGGUAAUUCCCGAUGGUCCGGACUUUUAUAAUGAGAGUCCGGUAAAGAUUUAUCGCUUUGGGAUCGGCCUGCGGGCUAUCAGCUUGUUGGUAGGGUAACGGCCUACCAAGGCUAUGACGGCUAGGGGAGGUGAGAGCCUGACCCCCACCGAUGGCACUGCGACACGGGCCAUACACCUACGGGUGGCCGCAGUCGAGAAUAUUCCACAAUGGGCGAAAGCCUGAUGGAGCGACGCCGCGUGGC